AUGUGGGGAAAGCAACAAAUGCGGCAAAAUAUGACAUAUAGAAAACAAAAUGGUUAUGGAGUAAACAUUCGUGUGACAACAACUCAGACGAUACAUAAAAAUCAGAAUAAUGAAGAAAAAGUUGGUUUCCCUAUAUACGUGUAACUGCAGUGUUGGUGUACGAGGCGCGUUUAUGAUUUUCAUUACGUUACUUGAUAUGAAAAAUUGACAAAAAAUAAUGUUUUACUUGUAAAAGUAAAACCUCAGCCUGUAAUAGCUGCUCUUCUUGUUCCAUUUGAAUUAAUAGAAACAAC
rnacentral:lncRNA from 1 species